UGCAAGUCGACGGUAACAGGAAGCAGCUUGCUGCUUUGCUGACGAGUGGCGGACGGGUGAGUAAUGUCUGGGAAACUGCCUGAUGGAGGGGGAUAACUACUGGAAACGGUAGCUAAUACCGCAUAACGUCGCAAGACCAAAGAGGGGGACCUUCGGGCCUCUUGCCAUCGGAUGUGCCCAGAUGGGAUUAGCUUGUUGGUGGGGUAACGGCUCACCAAGGCGACGAUCCCUAGCUGGUCUGAGAGGAUGACCAGCCACACUGGAACUGAGACACGGUCCAGACUCCUACGGGAGGCAGCAGUGGGGAAUAUUGCACAAUGGGCGCAAGCCUGAUGCAGCCAUGCCGCGUGUAUGAAGAAGCCUUCGGGUUGUAAAGUAUUUCAGCGGGGAGGAAGGAGAAAGUAAUAC
rnacentral:rRNA from 1 species